ACACGAACUUUUAUCGCUGGAUAAUUUUGCGAUUUUUCAUCCAAUUCAAUCAUAUAUAUGCUCAAAAUCUUCGCGAUAAGUUUCUCUUUACCAUAAAAUUUGACCGAAUAAGUUUCGAAACAAUGCGACGGCAAGAAAUACAAAAAUCCUGAUUUUCGUAAUAGAAUCAAUAGUCUUUUUGCCCUGUUGUACCGCCAUCUUGGAUUUAUCAUGUGGGCCCCGCCUGCGCUAGGUAUGCGUUAGCAAUCUAGAUCUCCUAUAUCUAUGGUG